UCUGGUUGAUCCUUCUGUACUUACUAUAGACUUUUGGCACUUUUGAUAAUGAAAUACUAAUGAUAAACCAUUGACAUGUGGUAUGCAUUCUCAUAUUUUGAAAUUGUGUUCUUACAUUGAUUUUACCUUCUUGCUCUCGGUCAAACACUUAGGGUCUCUUGGUUAUUUUUGAUUAAAUAUUCUAUAUAUAUUUUCUAAAGAUUUAAAUAACAGAAAUACAGAAACCUGUUUUGUUAUGUUAGUGUUUGCAAACAUUAUUUGCAGAUAACCAGAUAUUUAUUUUUGUUGAAGUUUAAUUAAUCAAAACCAUUAGGUAGUACUGAGAAUAAUAGAGGAAUAUCUAAGGUCUGCCUUAGAAAGUUAAAACCCCAUAGUUGUUAGCCAAAAAUACAAGUUAAAGGGAAGGGGGAAGUCAUUCUACCUGUUAUAAUAAAAUACUCUCCAAAAGGAGGAGAAACUUUUGACAAUACCCACUCCUGUUAUGUAUAGAUCAACAUUCUUAUAUACUGUAAACCAACUUAUUUUGGUGAGCAAUUUAUUGUCUUGACUUUAUUCAUUGGGAAAAUUAACAACGCCAAUAUAAAUGAGCUUGAAUAUUUUCUAACUAAAAUACAGUAAAAAUUAUGGAAAUAAAUUGAAGCAAAGUCCACUAGAAUGGCUAAAUUUGAAAUUGAAUGUGAAAAAAUAUCUAGGUUUUAAGUAUCGGUAUUCUGAAUUAAUUGUGACUUUUGAAACAUCAGCCGAUGCUUUUUAUUUACACAAACUAUCGUUAAACAAGCUGUUUGUCUCGUUAUAAAAUCAACAGUAUAUUGUAUGUUAUGACGAAAAAAAUUAUCAAAUAGGAAAAACAAUGAAGUUUGAAAUAAAUAGAUGAAUAGUUUAUUUAUUUUGAUCUCUGAAGUAAUAUAAUAUAUAUAUAUAUCAUAUUUAUAGUAAUUUAUUUUUGAAUGGAAAUCAAAUUGUGAAAAUGCCAAAAAGUGGACAUAAUUGACAUAUUGUUUAUCAUUUGUGUAUCUAUUAUUAUUACCAUUGAUCACAUUCAUCUUCUCACGUCUGCAGUCAAAUGAUUUAAAGAUCAUGACCUCAUCUUCAUUCCAUGCAUCACUGGGUUAAUAUCUAGAAAAUCACAAUAAGUACAUAGGUUUAAUAUUUUAUGCAAUGCAAUAUUUUUAAGAUAAAUUUUUGACACUAACUGCUUUUCUAAAAGAUUUGGUGUGACAAGAUAUUUGAUAUGUAAAAUGCAAAACAAAACUUUCCUUAGUUUUUGAUAGUUGUGAAAUCUUAUUAAUUUUUUCCCCAAAGGAAUUGAUUUUUUUUUAUCUUUUCAUGAAGACAACAAUUUGAUAGCAAUAAAGCAUUUGAUAUAUGCAAGGGAUUCCAUUGGCUUAGAUUUAAAUCAUUUGUUACUGCAAACGAUUGGUUGUUAUGGAAUCUGAAGGAUCAUGGGUAUUAUCAUUGAAUAAUCCAAUGCAUUCAAUGUUGGUUGAUAGGUAUAAUCAUGGUUUAAUAAGUGUAGACAUAUCAUUUUACCCAGAAUCCUUUACAAUUUGUAGCAACAAAUCUGAUGAAGAUAUUUUAGAUAAGGGUAAUUGGGUCUCAUUGUCAUUUGCCUUAGUGAUGCAACAAUUUGUAUGUGAAGUGCUUUAAAUUUACAAUUGCCAUUAUUGUUUGUAAUUGUAUACUUAUAACAAUACUCUGUUUAAAACUAAAAUGUUUAUCUAAAGAUACCAUGGCUUACAGACAGUCAACUAUUCUGCCCCACCCCUAAUAAAAGUUGACAGGAAGCUUCAAUUAUAAACUCCAUAGACCUAUCCCCUAUACAUUGUUUCUCAGACAGAAGUCGUCAGUUUUACAGUUACUAAAUUAAAAGAGGUCAGCUUUUCAAGUUUCUAGUGAUGGAUAUCCCAAUAGGAUAAAAAUUUAGCAAAAGAUCAUUACAUAUAUUUUCUUUUUAUUAAUUUGCACAUUUUACAAAUAUAUCAAAAAUGAUUAACAUAUAAAUGAGUAUAAAUCUUAAUUGAUAUGUUAAACAACCUGUAAAAGUAGGCACUCAAUACUGUGUAAACAGAUAUGAUAAAUUGAUAAAUUUUAUAUGACAAACAAAGACUUGUAAUGAAAUGUAAAGAUGAAAAGGAGAGGUUUUUCUGAAGAGUGAAAAAACUGACCUCCUUGUUAUUAUUGGAUUGAUCUUUAAAAGGGGGGUCUAAAUUUCUUAAAAAAGAUAUUUGCAGGCUUCCAUGGACAUUUGAAGAGUUGACAGCUGGCUGCACCUGAUUUUGUACAACCCCUUGCUUUUCUAUGCAACAACAUAUAACUGACAUCAGUGCUAUAUAUGUUGACCCUCAAUAGAUUACCAGUGUGCUAUUUAAUUUUGUUUCAUAUGAACAAUAUAAGUUUGUAAAUAUGGUGCUAGGACAUAGUGUGCUAAACAGGGAUACAAUGGUUAAUACCUUACAGUGACGUCUUGAUUCAAAGUCUGGUUAACACUUUAUCAUUCUUUAAUAAUGACUGGUUAACAAUUUAUCACUCUUUAAUAAUGACUGGUUUGUAGAACUUAGUGGUUAAAUAUAGCUUGUGAAAAAAGGUUAUUAGAGUAUCUGGAAAGAUUUUCAAAUUAACCAGCAACAAUAGUGACUUGUCAAAAAAUUCAUCAUGUUGAAUGUGGGUAGUACUUGGACAAAGACAAUAUACAGAUUUUCAAACCACUCAUACGUAUAACAGAAUAUUUACAAACAUUAGUAACUGGCUGUUUUGGCAUUUAAUUCUACUAUAAUAGCUCAAAUUGCAAGUUUUAUUGAAAUUUUCAUGCUCAUUUGUAUUUUUCUCAUAAUUUAUUUUUUUGUUGGAAGAAGUUGAGAUUUUUAAGCUCAUAGUAAUCAGAUAUGGGAAUUAUUUAGUUCAAUGAAAUUAUUGGAAAUUAAUUGAUGGUUACAAUUUAUUAAGUUAUUUAUUUCCAAGCUAUAUUUGAUCAAGUUAUUAGAUCCUUGAAGUUUUUUAAAAUAUUAAAAAGUUGUGCAAAUCCAGUCACAUCUCAGUAGCCUAGAUCUCUUGUAUUGUUAGUUGUAAUGUUUUUUCAUACAUAAAACUGGGCAAUAAAGUAGAAAACCUUCCUGUUAGAUAGACAAAUAGAAUGUGAGACUAGGCACGAUUUCUUGAUGAAUUUCAAGUCUUAUUUUAUAAAUAUUUGGCUGUUUAUAAAGGGGGAAAAACGUUUGAGAUGUCCCCAAGUGUAAAUUUGUAGAAAAGAUUUGCUUAAGUUAAAUGUACAUUGUUUGUAAGGCUAUUUAUAUCAUUCCAGUUUCUGUGAUCUGUUUUGUUAAAACUGGAUCUCCUAAUUUGCACAUGUGGAAGGUAACCAGUUUAAAUCAAGUGAGGUAACCAUGGAUUCAUUUAUGAGAAUUUCAUAUAAAAAACAGUAAUCAAAAUUAUCUCCCUUUGGUGUUCCUUUGUCAUUUCAUGCUUUUAAUUCUUUAUCAAUACAUUAAAUGCAUGAUUAAUGUCAGGGAUCUAUACUGUUUCAGCUCCACCCAUCAAAUCUAUUCUUGUUAAUGCAAAAAUCUCUUGUAUUAAUUGUUUUCCAUUGAUUUGAACCAUGGUUGCCUUGGUAAUUAUUUUUCUGUGUUCAAAAGUAUUUAUUGAUAUUGCGUAAAUAUGAAAUGUACGAGAACCAUGUGCAAUGAUACUGAAGAUUCUAUAUUUGACAAAAAUAUGCAUUAUUAUUAUUUUGUUUUCAUCACCAUGACAACGGUUGUGUUGAUGCUUAAUUGUUUGUUUGCCAUUGGUUAAGACCACAUUAAAUUAGUUCUACAAUUGAUAAGCAUUGUAUUCAUACAAAUUAUAUAUCAAAUGUGCUCAUUAUUUUUGUAAAUUUUGCAACAAGUUACAAAGUACAAAGUUGAGUAUAUAAACCAAUUUGUAAAAUUCAUUGAAUUUUAAGAAUUUAUUUGUAUUGGUCAAUACAAUAUAGGCCAAAUUAUAUACUUCAUGUUCAUUAUUAAAUGACACAAAUGUGA